rnacentral:tRNA from 1 species
GAGGGUAUAGCUCGGUAGUAGAGUAUGGGCUUAGCAUGCACGUGGUCCUGGGCUCAAUCCCCAGUGCCUCCA